AAUCUUCCACAAUGGACGAAAGUCUGAUGGAGCAACGCCGCGUGAGCGAUGAAGGCCUUCGGGUCGUAAAGCUCUGUUGUUAGGGAAGAACAAGUGCGAGAGUAACUGCUCGCACCUUGACGGUACCUAACCAGAAAGCCACGGCUAACUACGUGCCAGCAGCCGCGGUAAUACGUAGGUGGCAAGCGUGUUCCGGAAUUAUGGGGCGUAAAGCGAGCGCAGGCGGUUUCUUAAGUCUGAUGUGAAAGCCCACGGCUCAACCGUGGAGGGUCAUUGGAAACUGGGAGACUUGAGUGCAGAAGAGGAGAGUGGAAUUCCACGUGUAGCGGUGAAAUGCGUAGAGAUGUGGAGGAACACCAGUGGCGAAGGCGACUCUCUGGUCUGUAACUGACGCUGAGGCGCGAAAGCGUGGGGAGCAAAC
rnacentral:rRNA from 1 species